rnacentral:rRNA from 1 species
GAUCCUGGCUCAGGAUGAACGCUGGCGGCGUGCUUAACACAUGCAAGUCGAACGAGGAUUUAACGGAAUGCGAUUCGUCAAAUGAAAUUAAAUCCGAGUGGCGGACGGGUGAGUAACGCGUGGAUAACCUGCCUCACACAGGGGGACAACAGCUGGAAACGGCUGCUAAUACCGCAUAACACAAGCAAUUCGCAUGAAUAGCUUGUCAAAGAUUUCAUCGGUGUGAGAUGGA